UGGGGAAUAUUGCACAAUGGGCGCAAGCCUGAUGCAGCCAUGCCGCGUGUGUGAAGAAGGCCUCGGUUGUAAAGCACUUUCAGCGAGGAGGAAGGUGGUGAGCUUAAUACGCUCAUCAAUUGACGUUACUCGCAGAAGAAGCACCGGCUAACUCCGUGCCAGCAGCCGCGGUAAUACGGAGGGUGCAAGCGUUAAUCGGAAUUACUGGGCGUAAAGCGUACGCAGGCGGUUUGUUAAGUCAGAUGUGAAAUCCCCGGGCUCAACCUGGGAACUGCAUUUGAAACUGGCAAGCUAGAGUCUCGUAGAGGGGGGUAGAAUUCCAGGUGUAGCGGUGAAAUGCGUAGAGAUCUGGAGGAAUACCGGUGGCGAAGGCGGCCCCCCUGGACGAAGACUGACGCUCAGGUGCGAAAAGGCGUGGGGGAGCAAAACAGGAUUAGAUACCCUGGUAGUCCACGCUGUAAAACGAUGUCGAUUUUGGAGGUUGUGCCCCUUGAGGCGUGGCUUCCGGAGCUAACGCGUUAAAUCGACCGCCU
rnacentral:rRNA from 1 species